AGGUAGAGUCCAGGGUCCGUGGAGUACUAGACCUAAGGAAGCCUGCAUGGGGAGGACACAGGACAGUGACAUCACAGGAUGCCCCUCCCAUCAGGAAAAUUAAGGCCCAGAACUCACUCAGCUCUUCCCCAGGAGGACCAAGCGUCAGGUGCAGUGCUGCCUGCCCCACUGUGCCAUGGGCCCCGGGCUCCUCUGCUGGGCGCUGCUUUGUCUCCUGGGAGCAGGCCCAGUGGAGCCUGGAGUCACCCAAAGUCCCACACACCUGAUUAAAACAAGAGGACAGCAAGUUAUUCUGAGAUGCUCUCCUAUCUCUGGGCACAGCAGUGUGUCCUGGUACCAACAGGCCCUGGGUCAGGGGCCCCAAUUUAUCUUUGAGCAUUAUGAGAAGGAAGAGAGAGGAAGAGGCAACUUCCCUGGUCGAUUCUCAGGUCGCCAGUUCCCUAACUAUAGCUCUGAGCUGAAUGUGAGCGCCUUGUUGCUGGGGGACUCGGCCCUGUAUCUCUGCGCCAGCAGCUUGGCACAGCCUGGCAGAGUCACUGACAUUCUGUAUAUAAACUUCCUGCCUUAGCUUUGACUUGAGAGCUACAGGCCCCACCCAGGUUUCACUCCUUCAAGGGAAGCUUUCAGUUGUUUGGAAGGCAUGUCUACUGUCCUACUGAGUGCAGAGCUCUCCCAACCAACAGCGUCCAGGUUUCCUGUACCCUGAGUGUGCCUGCUUCUCUGCUGCAUCCUCUUGCAGCUUGUUAUUUACUGGGU